GGGAUUGCCUCAGUAACGGCGAGUGAAGCGGCAACAGCUCAAAUUUGAAAUCUGGCUCCUUCGGGGUCCGAAUUGUAAUUUGUAGAGAGUGCUUCGGGCGAGACCUCGGUCUAAGUCCAUUGGAACAUGGUGUCAUAGAGGGUGAGAAUCCCGUAUGCGACCGUGGCUCGAGCCCAUGUGAAGCCUCUUCGACGAGUCGAGUUGUUUGGGAAUGCAGCUCAAAAUGGGUGGUAAAUUUCAUCUAAAGCUAAAUACUGGCUGGAGACCGAUAGCGCACAAGUAGAGUGAUCGAAAGAUGAAAAGCACUUUGGAAAGAGAGUCAAACAGUACGUGAAAUUGUUGAAAGGGAAGCGCUUGCAACCAGACCUGCCCGUAGGCGAUCAGCCGCUGUUCUCAGCGGUGUACUCGCUCUGCGAUCAGGCCAGCAUCGGUUUCGGCGGUCGGAUAAAGACCUUGGGAAUGUAGCUUCCCUUCGGGGAAGUCUUAUAGCCCUCGGUGUAAUGCGGCCAGCCGGGACCGAGGACCGCGCUUCGGCUAGGAUGCUGGCGUAAUGGUUGUAAGCGACCCGUCUUGAAACACGGACCAAGGAGUCUAACAUCUAUGCGAGUGUUUGGGUGUCAAACCCAUACGCGGAAUGAAAGUGAACGGAGGUGAGAACCCUUAAGGGCGCAUCAUCGACCGAUCCAGAUGUCUUCGGAUGGAUUUGAGUAUGAGCAUAGCUGUUGGGACCCGAAAGAUGGUGAACUAUGCCUGAAUAGGGUGAAGCCAGAGGAAACUCUGGUGGAGGCUCGYAGMKGUKCUGACGUGCAAAUCGMUYKUCRRAYUUGGGUAUAGGGGCGAAAGACUAAUCG
rnacentral:rRNA from 1 species